rnacentral:lncRNA from 1 species
UUCAGGGUAACAGUUGGUAGAUGGGCACUUUUUCCUUUUAGUUUUUUAGAUUUUCUGAAUCAGAGUCUUACUAUGUAGUUCAGGCUGGACUUAAACUCACUCUAUAUUCCAGGUUGGGAUUUAACUCCUGGUGAUCCUCCUGCCUCAGCCUUCUGAGUGCUGGGAUUACAGGCAUACACCACCAUUCCUGGCUAGAUGGGAACUUCUAACAUCAGGAAUAAACAGAACCACCACAGCAAAGCCCUAAAAUCUAUUGGUGCUCAUCCUGAGCUUCUAAUCUCUAUUAUGAUAUCACUGAAACUAUGUCACUGACAGUUCCUCCUACUGAAAAGUAGAUUUUCUUAGGGAGGGCAGUUUCAAAUGCCAUGUUCUGUCCAGUGUGGGGUCUCAGUAGAUGCUCACUGAGAAACGCAUGAAAAUCAUGAUCAUGAGCAUCAGUAAUACAUAACUAUGGAAUAUACCAAAAACUACUAAAUUGCAUUUCUUCUUGUGAACACUGAAUCAAUGUCAGUUGUUACUGACACACAACAUGUGACAAAGUAAUAGAGCAGAUGGAGACAUUUAGUGAAUCUUACCUAAAUUGGGCCUUAAAUUGAAGGCCUGUCAAGUUUCCCUUUGCUGAAGGUACUCUUUUCUGCACUGACAAUCCUAUACUUUAUGUUAAACUUGACCCCUGGGAAGCCAAGAGAGAGACUCACCUUUUGCAUACUAAUCAGCCACAAAGGUUGGAAUUCCUUGACAUCCUAGAAGCAAAGACAAAGUGCAGGACCUCACUAAAUUGCUAAGUGACUCAGGCUGGAUUCGAACUUACAAUCCUCCUGCCUCAGACUCCCAGGGCAAUGGGAUUACAGGUGUGCACCAGCACAGUCAGCUUGGUCCUACACUUUUGUGAUGAAACUGAACAGCUGAGUUCCGGGCACUUGUAUCAAGGUGAACAGAUGGUUAAAGAGCAAAGUGGACCCGCAGCCAAGCUCUGGAGACCCUGGACUGGAGACUCCCAGGGAACCACCACGUCCUCAAGGCAUGAGAUUCAUCUCCUUCUGAAAAGUCCUUCAUGA